GGUUGCGUGGCGUAGGGGUAGCGCGUGCGCUACUGGUACAUCGUUCGCAUGGACAUUGGUCCAUGCGGGUGAUGUGUGUGCGCUAGGUCGUGGGUUCGAUUCCCACCGUAACCU